GAUGAACGCUGGCGGCGUGCUUAAUACAUGCAAGUCGAGCGAGAAAGUUCCUUCGGGAACGAGUACAGCGGCGAACGGGUGAGUAACACGUGGGCAACCUGCCCAAGGGAGCGGGACAACCGGAGGAAACUCCGGCUAAUACCGCAUGAUGUGUCAUGUCAUAAGGCGUGACACCAAAAGGUAGCUUCGGCCUCCGCCCUUGGAUGGGCCCGCGGCGCAUUAGCUUGUUGGUGGGGUAACGGCCUACCAAGGCGACGAUGCGUAGCUGGUCUGAGAAGACGAGCGGCCAGCCUGGGACUGAGACACGGCCCAGACUCCUACGGGAGGCAGCGGUAGGGAAUCUUGCGCAAUGGGCGAAAGCCUGACGCAGCAACGCCGCGUGAGGGAAGAAGGCUUUCGGGUUGUAAACCUCUUUCAGGAGGGACGAAGCUUCCAGGGUUAAUAGCCCAUGGGGUGACGGUACCUCCAGAAGAAGCCCCGGCUAACUACGUGCCAGCAGCCGCCGUAA
rnacentral:rRNA from 1 species